rnacentral:rRNA from 1 species
CCAGACUCCUACGGGAGGCAGCAGUGGGGAAUAUUGCACAAUGGGGGAAACCCUGAUGCAGCGACGCCGCGUGAGUGAAGAAGGAUUUCGGUAUGUAAAGCUCUAUCAGCAGGGAAGAAGUUGACGGUACCUGAGUAAGAAGCACCGGCUAACUACGUGCCAGCAGCCGCGGUAAUACGUAGGGGGCAAGCGUUAUCCGGAUUUACUGGGUGUAAAGGGCGCGUAGACGGCAGAGCAAGUCUGAAGUGAAAUCCCCGGGCUUAACCAUGGAACUGCUUUGGAAACUGUGCAGCUAGAGUGCAGGAGAGGUAAGCGGAAUUCCUAGUGUAGCGGUGAGAUGCGUAGAUAUUAGGAGGAACACCAGUGGCGAAGGCGGCUUACUGGACUGUAACUGGCGUUGAGGCGCGAAAGCGUGGGGAGCAAACAGGAUUAGAUACCCGUGUAC